CAUCGUGAGGUGGAAUCUGAAGAAAGCCGGAUUGCAGGGGUUGAAAGGUCCCCUGCUGGACAAACCUCUGGCCUGACGAACAGAAACCGCAUAUAAGGCUGUGGACGAGGGUAAGUUUGCUGAACAAAACGAAGCCCAAUAGCUGCACGGAAUCGGUCACAGUAAAUGCGGCAGGUAAAGAGGGAAAGAACG
rnacentral:ncRNA from 1 species